UAGUGAGUUUGAUCCUGGCUCAGAACGAACGCUGGCGGCAGGCCUAACACAUGCAAGUCGAGCGCCCCGCAAGGGGGAGCGGCGGACGGGUGAGUAACGCGUGGGAACGUACCCUUUGCUACGGAAUAGCCUCGGGAAACUGGGAGUAAUACCGUAUACGCCCUUUGGGGGAAAGAUUUAUCGCCUUUAGAGCGGCCCGCGUCUGAUUAGCUAGUUGGAGAGGUAAAGGCUCACCAAGGCAUCGAUCAGUAGCUGGUCUGAGAGGACGAUCAGCCACACUGGGACUGAGACACGGCCCAGACUCCUACGGGAGCAG
rnacentral:rRNA from 1 species